GGACAGGGAGCGAGCACUGUGGGGGCUGGGAGAGGCUGGAGGGGUGGAGGGGUGGAGGGCCAGAGGCCGAGCCAAGAGGAGCGGCCGGAGCUGCCGGAGAAGGCGAGGAGGAAAAAGCGGAGGAAGGAAACCCAUCCUGCCCCCAACACCCGAGUGUCUCCUGUUACCAACCGAAAGGUGCAGCCUCAGGAAGAGUUGCAGGCUCUACUGCUGGCCCCUUGUUGGUGCUGAUUACUGGGAAUUGGCUAUAAUUUUCCAAAGUGCUACCAGUUCAAUGAAAACUUUCCUCAGUACACUUUUUCCACUGGGGAAGCUCAGGCCAGGAGGAAAUGAAGUCAUUAUCCUGUUCUCUGUCCCCCUGCCCCACAGGGAUAGAAGAUGGCCAUCGACUUGGUGAGUAUAGAACAGGGGCACCCAGAGAUUUGCCUUAGUCCUACCCUUCCCUCUCAUCAUGUGCUAGGCCUCACCAUUGGUGUCACUGAGCAGGGAUUCUGAAUCCAGAUUCCAAGUCCCCAGAAGCCCAUCAGGUGUUUGGCCAUCCUGGUCCUUUCUUAUUGGCAUAUUAAUCAUGCGAAUUCCUUUGUCUGUUAUCCUUUUUAGCUUGCAAAACACAGUCAACUCUCUGUUAUCUACAAGGGUUACCAGGGUGCUCUAAGAUUCCAGGAUCUCCCUGACCUUAAAUCUCUCUCCCCUCCAGCCUGCUAGGAGUUGGGGCCCCGCAAACAAAGGAGUAUUUUAGUGUGGGGAGGGACAUGAUAGCAAUAAGCCUUGGAUGGCAGGCACAGUAUGUGGAGUCCCCAAGGCUAGGGAUAUCACUUGAGAUAUGGCUGGCUGGGCUUCUCAAGGCAAGGGGACCCAAGCCUCAUAAGAAGACUGUAGACAUAAUGACACCCUCCUUAACAUUCUAGUGAAAAGGCUGAACCCUCCCCAGGCACCCUGUAUAUACAAGGCAUUAACAUCAUCACAAUUAACUUGUUUGUGACUGUUACGCAUUUACUUCUUUAUUCAGUCUUUUAUUCCACAAAUAUCUAUUCGGCACGACCAGGUGCCCCUCCCAACUCAGGGCUGGGGACUGAGACCCUCUCCACCAGGAGCUCCUGCUCUACUGAGAAAGAGAUCACAAAUUCUGAGGCGCAGGAGAGAAUGCUACCUUUUAUUCCUGCUCUAAGAAGGAUUAAUUAAAUGAAGAAAGGGACAGUUGGGAAAAGGUAGAAAGCAAAUGUUCAUUGUCAAAACUUUGGAAAACAGAGAAGAGCAGAAACAUAAUUUUUAAUCAAUAAUUUUUAAUUAUGCGACUUCUGAGCUGUGUGGAUUUUAGCUAGUUGGCCUCUG
rnacentral:lncRNA from 1 species